UACGUAGGGUGCGAGCGUUGUCCGGAAUUACUGGGCGUAAAGAGCUCGUAGGUGGUUUGUCGCGUUGUUCGUGAAAACCGGGGGCUUAACCCUCGGCGUGCGGGCGAUACGGGCAGACUUGAGUACUGCAGGGGAGACUGGAAUUCCUGGUGUAGCGGUGGAAUGCGCAGAUAUCAGGAGGAACACCGGUGGCGAAGGCGGGUCUCUGGGCCGCUACUGACGCUGAGAAGCGAAAGCAUGGGGAGCGAACAGG
rnacentral:rRNA from 1 species